CUCAGCCUGCUUAUGUCGUGUAAUGCUCCAACCCAACCCUCUCUUGCCAAAUACCUAAUUCUUACUGUCAAUGAGCAGUAGACACACGAGAAGCAAAGAAAGACAACGGCGUCACGGCAUCAGCCUGGGCCUCCGGGAAUGGAAUAACAUUAGAAGUGUCUGUCCACUGUCAUCCAACUGGGAGGUCUUAUCGUGGGGUUCCGUUCUUAUGUCUCCAGUUGUGGCCUGAGGAUCAUCUUCUUUGGCUUAUGGUGCAGGAGGUUGUUUAUCGAUGCUAGAAAGCCAAAACCAAAAGAGAAAAUGCUGGAACAAUUUAGCAGGUCAAGCAGCAUCCGUGGGGAGAGAAAUUGCUGGGGCAAGGACCCUUUAUCAGUACUGGAAACAAG